AGAGACAGGUUGUUUGUGUUAUUAUGCACUUUAUUUCGUUCGUUAAGGAAUCUAUCAUACAAGAAGAGAAAUUGGGAAAAAUGUGUAUUGCGGAAAUCAGCAGUUAAACAAUAAAUCUGUAGGCAACAAGUGGAAGAACGGCAGAACUCAAGCAUCCUAAAGGCAACAAGGGGAAGAACACAACUGUGUAUUGUGCCAGAACUCAAGGGGAAGCACCCAUGGCAACAAUACCCAACUGCGUAUUACGCCAGAACUCAAGGGGGAGCACCCAAACUAAAUCCGAAGGCAACAACAACUG
rnacentral:misc_RNA from 1 species